rnacentral:pre_miRNA from 1 species
ACCUUUUCGAAUCCGUGCUGAGAUUUCGUCAGACACCAACCCAUUAAUUCUGAUUAGACUUCAAGAGAAGUGAAGUU